rnacentral:rRNA from 1 species
GGGGAAUAUUGGACAAUGGGGGCAACCCUGAUCCAGCCAUGCCGCGUGAGUGAAGAAGGCCUUAGGGUUGUAAAGCUCUUUCGGCGGGGACGAUGAUGACGGUACCCGCAGAAGAAGCCCCGGCUAACUUCGUGCCAGCAGCCGCGGUAAUACGAAGGGGGCAAGCGUUGUUCGGAUUUACUGGGCGUAAAGGGCGCGUAGGCGGAUCUUUAAGUCAGAGGUGAAAGCCCUGGGCUCAACCCGGGAAUUGCCUUUGAGACUGGGGAUCUUGAGUAUGGGAGAGGGUGGCGGAAUACCCAGUGUAGAGGUGAAAUUCGUAGAUAUUGGGUAGAACACCAGUGGCGAAGGCGGCCACCUGGCCCAUAACUGACGCUGAGGCGCGAAAGCGUGGGGAGCAAAC